AAAUAAAGCCAAAAACCCAACUCCUUAUUUACCCUCCUGGCCUCGUCUCCUUAUUCCCCCAACUGAAAACCCUAAUUCAAAUUGUUUAUUUCGAAUCCUCAGCUCCGAUUCAGUCUCUCUCCCAAUUUUGGCGCCAAAUUCGAAUCGCAUCGAUAGGAGCUACCAUGGCGCUCCGGAAAAAUCACAGGCCAACGCCAAUUUGAUGCAGAUCGCCCUGUGGCAGAUCGCGUAAUUUCGAGCGAACAAAAUGUAGGGCUUUGAAGCGAUGACCUUCAACGUUCACGGUGGGCCGGUGGCUACUUGGAGGCCAUCGUCCGGGGACAACGUGGCGAUCUUCUCACUGCCGCUGAUUACAACAAUCUGUGCCAGUCCGAGACCCUCGACGACAUUAAGAUGCACCUCUCUGCCACCGAGUACGGCCCCUCCCUCCAAAACGGUGCGCUUUGGUGUAUCUCUCUCUCUUAUCGUGGCUUGCAUUUUAAUUUGUUCGUAGCUGAGGAAAUUGAAUAGAAUUGGAGACUGAAUUAUGGAUCUUAUGCUUUGAUAGUUUGAUUUGAUGUAGUUUCCUAGUUUCCUACUGAAAUGAUGCCUAUUGAUCUGGAUUUUUAGUUUUCUCUAGGUAAUGAUUUGGCUUUGGUGUUUGGUGGUGUUGAUUUCAGAAUUAGUAUGAGCAACAAUUAUAUGAUGUCAUAAGUCGAUCAGAGGUGGUUUAUCUUUGAAUGCACCUAACAUUCCUGCACGUAUGCAAACAAAUUGCAUCUGGAUAUCUGUAGUAGAACGAGGGAUUUGGAUUUUGCUGCCUAGCUCUGGUUUAUUGUCAUGCAUGCAUAUACAAAAGAUGGUUUAUGUGUGCACUGGUUCUUUUCUUUUGCAUCUGAUCGACUGCACUUAAAUUGGGUUGUCAAUUGUGUGUACUGCAAUUUUAAACAAUGCUAUUGUUUGAAUAGUUAUUGUCUAUCUGUACGCAAUCUCAGGAUCUUCAUCUAAUAUGUUGGUAUAUAUAUGAGUUUAUAUGAACUUAUAAUAGACAAACACACACAAGCAGACAUGAUAGAUUCCUUUUUCCUUUUCUAUUAGGGCUGUCUUAGGCCAUGCUUCCUAUACCUAGACCAUUUGUAUAUAGGGAAAGUAUGACCAGCCCUCAAUUUUUCCAGUUGCUGGCUGAUAUAUAAUCUCCACUUUGUAGAAUCAUAGACCUGAGAAUGAAUCUUGCCUACAUAAUUCAAAUUACAAAUCUGUCAGGCCCUUUAGGAACAGCACAGAAUGGUAAAGAACACCCUCAGUCUAUUACCGAUCAGGCAAAUGGUGGGAGCCUUUCGUUGUGCUUUUCUUUAUGUUGAUGGGGGAGAAUGGUUGGGCAAUGAUUUUGAAGGAAAUAUGGUGUUGUUGUUUCCCUAGGUUUGGCAUGAGGAAUAUUCCAACAUAACAUUCUUUGUACACCUUUAGAGUAGGUUUGUCAUGAACUCAUGAUAUCUGAUAUACUUUCAAUCUUAUGAAACUUAAUGCAUUAGUGUCUGUAAGUGAAGUAUUUACUAUUCAUGUAUUAAGCACCAUCGAGUUUGUAGUGAGAGAAGCAUAUAUAACUAACUCUGCUUCUUAUCAAUAUGUAACAGGUAUAUAUGGCUACCUCAGCCAAAAAGGCUAUGGUUGUCCAUGUUAUGAAAAUAUUAUCUGCAGAUGUCAUUUGUUUUAUUGAUAUUUUAGUUUCCUGACCAUUACUCUCUGUUCAUGACCGUCAUUUUGUUGUGUAAUUGAUUUGCUUUCAUUAUUAUUAAUUGCAUUGUGUGUUAAAAUAGUGGAAAGAGUUUGUUACUUACUGUUGUACUUUAGUUUAGUUCAGAUACUAAAGUACACUCCUCAAACAAUUAUCAUUUUUUGAAGUUUUAAGUUCUAGUAUUAAUAAUUGAAAAAGAUAGUUUGAGUUUGUUUAGGAUUAUUUUCUUUGAAAGGGAAGAUGUUGUUCUAUGAGCUUAGAUGUUGGCCCCAUUGGCAUUGGAACUUGAAGAAGAAAGAUAGAUUUGUUUAGGGUGAAAUCAGAAGGAAGUGUCGGAUAGAUAUGCAGGGCAAUAUAUUUCAAUCUUUAUGUAUUUGUUUAGUAUAUGUCUGUGGGAUUGGAGACUGAUCAGCAGUAUGAUUUAUUAGGUUUCAGUAAUUUCUGUUCUCAACUUUUUCUUUGGCAUGGGUUUGCCUUGCGUUUCUUAUACUUAGUCAUUACGAAAAUUUGAUGAGGACAGGAAGCACUGAGAGCUUUGGUUAGUACGAAUUUGACCAUUGGAUCCAGUAAGCAGGUUGAGGUUCCCCAUUUUCACCAUGGCAUUGGCAAAAUCUGCAAAGAAAGCUGAAGGGGUGGUGCUGUAAGUUGUUACUUGAGAAUCUGUUGAACCACCACUGAA